CUGAAGGGGAUCCUGAAGAGCUCAAAUACAUAAUUUUUUAAAACUUGAAUUCAAAAGCAAAUAGAAGACUACGUGUCAAAUCAAGUAAUAUUUAUAAGGAAAGACAAUAAUUAAAGGCUCACUGACGUCACUCCCCUUUCAUUCCGUAAUAUCACAAGAUUGCAGGUGAUACUAACUUGCAGGUUGCUGGCCCGCCAUGGACACCAGGGGAUGAUGUUGCAGUCGUUCUAUGUCACUCCAGGGUGAACUUGGGAUCCUGAUGGUGCCUAUGAUCCCUGCCCUCGCUGACCUAUGCCUACAAUCAAAUUGUAAAACGAUGGCUUUUCUGGUCGCCUUCACUGGAGGUGCAUGCCCCACUCUGCUCCGCGCGCUUCUGAGCGCUGCGUUUCCCAGCAAGAGGAACUGCCACUCACUG